rnacentral:rRNA from 1 species
CGCUAGCUACAGGCUUAACACAUGCAAGUCGAGGGGCAGCAUUUCAGUUUGCUUGCAAACUGGAGAUGGCGACCGGCGCACGGGUGAGUAACACGUAUCCAACCUGCCGAUAACUCGGGGAUAGCCUUUCGAAAGAAAGAUUAAUACCCGAUGGCAUAAUUAGACCGCAUGGUCUUAUUAUUAAAGAAUUUCGGUUAUCGAUGGGGAUGCGUUCCAUUAGGCAGUUGGUGAGGUAACGGCUCACCAAACCUUCGAUGGAUAGGGGUUCUGAGAGGAAGGUCCCCCACAUUGGAACUGAGACACGGUCCAAACUCCUACGGGAGGCAGCAGUGAGGAAUAUUGGUCAAUGGGCGCAGGCCUGAACCAGCCAAGUAGCGUGAAGGAUGACUGCCCUAUGGGUUGUAAACUUCUUUUAUAUGGGAAUAAAGUUCUCCACGUGUGGAAUUUUGUAUGUACCAUAUGAAUAAGGAUCGGCUAACUCCGUGCCAGCAGCCGCGGUAAUACGGAGGAUCCGAGCGUUAUCCGGAUUUAUUGGGUUUAAAGGGAGCGUAGGUGGACAGUUAAGUCAGUUGUGAAAGUUUGCGGCUCAACCGUAAAAUUGCAGUUGAUACUGGCUGUCUUGAGUACAGUAGAGGUGGGCGGAAUUCGUGGUGUAGCGGUGAAAUGCUUAGAUAUCACGAAGAACUCCGAUUGCGAAGGCAGCUCACUGGACUGCAACUGACACUGAUGCUCGAAAGUGUGGGUAUCAAACAGGAUUAGAUACCCUGGUAGUCCACACAGUAAACGAUGAAUACUCGCUGUUUGCGAUAUACAGUAAGCGGCCAAGCGAAAGCAUUAAGUAUUCCACCUGGGGAGUACGCCGGCAACGGUGAAACUCAAAGGAAUUGACGGGGGCCCGCACAAGCGGAGGAACAUGUGGUUUAAUUCGAUGAUACGCGAGGAACCUUACCCGGGCUUAAAUUGCAUUUGAAUAAUCUGGAAACAGGUUAGCUGCAAGGCAAAUGUGAAGGUGCUGCAUGGUUGUCGUCAGCUCGUGCCGUGAGGUGUCGGCUUGAGUGCCAUAACGAGCGCAACCCUUAUCUUUAGUUACUAACAGGUCAUGCUGAGGACUCUAGAGAGACUGCCGUCGUAAGAUGUGAGGAAGGUGGGGAUGACGUCAAAUCAGCACGGCCCUUACGUCCGGGGCUACACACGUGUUACAAUGGGGGGUACAGAAGGCAGCUACCUGGUGACAGGAUGCUAAUCCCAAAAGCCUCUCUCAGUUCGGAUCGAAGUCUGCAACCCGACUUCGUGAAGCUGGAUUCGCUAGUAAUCGCGCAUCAGCCAUGGCGCGGUGAAUACGUUCCCGGGCCUUGUACACACCGCCCGUCAAGCCAUGAAAGCCGGGGGUACCUGAAGUACGUAACCGCAAGGAGCGUCCUAGGGUAAAACUGGUAA